rnacentral:rRNA from 1 species
GAUGAACGCUGGCGGCGUGCCUAACACAUGCAAGUCGAACGGAAAGACGCUGCUUUUGUCGGGCGCUCGACUGGCGAGCGGGUGAGAAACCCGAGAGUAACCUGUCCUUGAGUUUGGGGUAACUUCAGGUAACCUGGGAUCUCAUACGAUAUAAGCUCGUGAUCCGUGGUGGUGGUUGGAUAGUUCCGGCGGUUGGGGCUGUUCUCGAGGCGUAUGAGCUAGUUGGGGGGGUUGUGGAUUACCAAGGCGUUGACGGGUACCCGGCGUGAGAGGGUGAUCGGCCACACUGGAACUGAGACACGGCCCAUGCUCCUACGGGAGGCAGCAGUGGGGAAUUUUGGGCAAUGGGCGAAAGCCUGACACAGCAAGGCCGCGUGUGGGAUGAAGGCCUUCGGUUCGUAAAAUGCGUUUUUAGGUUAAGAACAGCUUUCUCCUGAGAAAGAGGGGUCAUGACGGUACCGGAUGAAUAAGCACCGGCUAACUACGUG